rnacentral:rRNA from 1 species
GACGAACGCUGGCGGCAUGCCUAAUACAUGCAAGUCGAGCGAACAGAUGAAGUGCUUGCACUCCUGACGUUAGCGGCGAACGGGUGAGUAACACGUAAGGAAUCUACCUAUAAGCGGGGGAUAACAUUCGGAAACGGGUGCUAAUACCGCAUAAUAUCUUCUUCCGCAUGGAAGAAGAUUGAAAGACGGCUCUGCUGUCACUUAUAGAUGACCUUGCGGUGCAUUAGUUAGUUGGUGGGGUAAUGGCCUACCAAGACGAUGAUGCAUAGCCGACCUGAGAGGGUGAUCGGCCACAUUGGGACUGAGACACGGCCCAAACUCCUACGGGAGGCAGCAGUAGGGAAUCUUCCGCAAUGGGCGAAAGCCUGACGGAGCAAUGCCGCGUGAGUGAAGAAGGCCUUGGGUCGUAAAACGUCCUGUUAUAAGAGAAGAACAAAUUGUAAGAGUAACUGCUACAGUCUUGACGGUAUCUUAUCA